AUACGAACAAGGAAAGUUAACUAUUUCAGCUUUCAUCCCCCCUCUUUGAGCAAUACAUUGCUCAUCUUAUCGGUUAAAAUCUUCCCAGGACAGAGACACUUCCACAUUAUGGUAUUCCCAAGCAAUCAUGUGGUCUACAAGAAACAGAAACUCAGCAGGAAAAAAGACACUUUUUUUUUUGGAUGUUUAAGACAAAAUGGAACUUGGGCUUAUAGCAAAUAUAUUAUUGCAAAUAGC